CGGGCGCGAGGGAGGGGGCGCAGAGGUGAGAGCACGGACGGGCGCGGACGGCGGGCGGACGAGCAGGCCCUCCCAGGAAAGGGCACCAGGAGCUGGGGGCGGGGCCGUCCACGGAGUACCACUGAGAGGCCUGGGGGGGCUCCUCCUAGAGCGGCGCCGGAAGGGGCGGGCUCUUCCGGUCGGCGCCGAGGCCGGCUGCUGGGCCGGGCGGGCCCGGUCGCCCGGCGCGGGAAGACUGGCGCGCGGCGGGGCCCGGCGCGGGAGACGUCGUUCCCGGGCCCCUUGCGGGGGGCGCGCUCGCCCCGUCCUCCAGCCGGGGAUUGCGGGUUCCCUGGGCUCCCGGGCGCCGCGGGGAGGAGGGCGAGGACCAGCUCCGUGCGGAUCGAGGUUCCCACUGAAGCUAGACUCCAGCCUCCUUGCCUGGUGCGGCGAUCCUCUGCCCUCGGUCCUCUGCCCUCCGUCCACCUGCCCUCUCCAGCAGGGGUCCCCUCUUACUUCUACAUGCUCCCCUCAGCCCAGAUGAGCUGCCUUUACCUGUGAUUCAGGCUCCCACCUGAUGCUCAGAACAGCCUCCCAGAAGCUACCUCCAGUAGAGCCUUUGGGGCCACAUAGGCCUGAAUCCCAAUCAAGUGUAAGUAAACAUUGUUUUUUAAUGUUAAUUCUUAGGGUAUUUCUUUUUGUUGUUGUUUUUUAAGUUUAUCUUUGAGAGGGCAUGAGCGGGGGAGGGGCAGAGAGAGAGGGAGACAGAGAUUCUGAAGCGGCUUCUGCGCUGACAGCAGCCAGCCGCUCUCAGGGCUCGAACUCAUGAACCGCGAGAUCGUGACCUGAACCAAAGUCGGAUGCUCAACCUACUGAGCCACCCAGGCGCCCCUAAACAUUUUUAUUUAGAAGAAACUAGAUUCUCAAACUCCUUAUCAGGAUGGGAAGUUUCUACAGUCGUCUUAUGUAUUGCCUCUGCAUGGGGGAGAAGAGGAAAGGCUUAAAGAGAAUUCAGAGUAUUUAUGCCUUAAAACAUACAUCACUUGGGGGUGCCUGGCUGGCUUAGUCAGUAGAGCAUCUUGGGGUGUUGAGUUCAAGCCCCACGUUGGGCAUGGAGCUUACUUAAAAAACCUGUGUUUUCACGCACAGAGUUGGAUAGACACACAGAUUAAAAGGAUGGUAAGUAGAUGAUGGAAAGGAAGUUUCAAAGAAAAAUACAGCACCUGGAGUAUUAUCGUGUAGGGCAUCCCAUUUGGGGGUAGGACAGCUUGUCAGGGUUAUGGGCCUCCUAGUAGGUACGGGUAGUCGUCACAGGUCAUGAGAUACCUUUGUUAAGAAGGUCUUAACAAGGAAGGUCUGCAAGGAAUAUUGGAAAAUUAAAACAGGACCUGCCUUUGGAGCUUUUUCUUUAAAAAAAAAAAAAAAAAAAAAGGGCCUUAAUCUCGUGGAGUAUCUUCCACCAACAGUUAAAGAGCCUGCAGUCUGUCAAGGCUUUUUGCUAGAAUUCCAUCAGCGCUGAGAGAAGAGGCAGGUCCAGGAAGCUGACGGAUGAGACAGAAAAGAGACAGGGGAGGGAUGGCAGCAAACGAGAUGAGGCGUGCAGGUGCUGCUUCUGCGAACACCUGGGCUGUGGGAACCCUGUUUGAAUUCGUGGCGAAAUUGGGAUGCUGUUAGAGGGAGUUAGGGACAGGGUCCGUCAGGUGUUUCAGACAUGACAGCGUGAGCAAGGUCUGGGUGAUAGUUGCCUGGGCUUUGGCUCUCGGAGGAGUUCGCUCUGGUGAAGUGCUGCAAGGAAGUCUGGGGCCGGGUUAGGGAAGAGGGAGUUGGGGGGCACUGGUUGAGGCACUGGUUGAGUCCGGGAGGCCUCUCUGGGCAGGGCCCUUGGAGCAGAGCUCCGAAUGAAGUGAGGGGCCGGCCCCGCAAAAACCUGCGCUUGGCCUGUUUCUGGAAUCAGCCCGACACUGAGGCGGGAAGCGCUGGGUAUGGUCGAGGAGUCUGAAGAAAGCUGGACAUGAGGACGCGAGUGAGGAGAGGGCCGAGGGAUGGGCCCGGUCAGGCGCGUAUAGGGCUUGUAAGUAUGAGGGACACCGGGGCAGGCGCGGGGUAGGGGGUUCACUGGCUGCUCUGUGGAGACAGACCAUGGGGGGGAGGGCAGGGCGCCCACUAGGGAGCCAGCCCCAAGUUUGAUCCAUCUC
rnacentral:lncRNA from 1 species